GACAGAGGGGGCUAGCGUUGUUCGGAAUGACUGGGCGUAAAGGGUGCGUAGGUGGCACUUUAAGUAAAGCGUGAAAGCCCCUGGCUUAACCAGGGAAGUGCGUUUUAAACUGGAGUGCUUGAGUACGGGAGAGGAAAGCGGAAUUUCUCAUGUAGAGGUGAAAUUCGCAGAUAUGAGAAGGAACACCAAAAGCGAAGGCAGCUUUCUGGAACGUUACUGACACUGAGGCACGAAAGCGUGGGGAGCAAAC
rnacentral:rRNA from 1 species